rnacentral:rRNA from 1 species
UGGUUAAGGAACUCGGCAAAAUGCCCCCGUAACUUCGGGAGAAGGGGGGCCUGAGCUUUGAAGCCCCUUCGCGGGCUAGGAGCAAGGGUCGCAGAGAACAGGGGGGAGCGACUGUUUACUAAAAACACAGGUCCGUGCGAAGCCGUAAGGCGAUGUAUACGGACUGACGCCUGCCCGGUGCUGGAAGGUUAAGAGGAACCAUCAACCCUUUGGGUGAAGUGGUGAAUUUAAGCCCCAGUAAACGGCGGUGGUAACUAUAACCAUCCUAAGGUAGCGAAAUUCCUUGUCGGGUAAGUUCCGACCUGCACGAAUGGCGUAACGACUUCCCCGCUGUCUCAACCAUGAGCUCGGCGAAAUUGCAGUACGAGUAAAGAUGCUCGUUUCGCGCAGAAGGACGGAAAGACCCCGGGACCUUUACUAUAGCUUGGUAUUGGCGCCCGCUAUAGCUUGUGCAGGAUAGGUGGGAGACUGUGAAGCCGUUACGCCAGUGGCGGUGGAGUCGUCCUUGAAAUACCACUCUGGUUAUGGCGUGCGCCUGAACCUGGGCCCGUGAUCCGGGUUAGGGACAGUGCCUGGUGGGUAGUUUAACUGGGGCGGUUGCCUCCUAAAGUGUAACGGAGGCGCUCAAAGGUUCCCUCAGCCUGGUCGGCAACCAGGUGUUGAGUGCAAGUGCACAAGGGAGCUUGACUGUGAGACCGACGGGUCGAGCAGGUACGAAAGUAGGAACUAGUGAUCCGGCGAUCCCGUGUGGGUGGGUCGUCGCUCAACGGAUAAAAGGUACCCCGGGGAUAACAGGCUGAUCCUGCCCAAGAGUCCAUAUCGACGGCAUGGUUUGGCACCUCGAUGUCGGCUCGUCGCAUCCUGGGGCUGGAGCAGGUCCCAAGGGUUGGGCUGUUCGCCCAUUAAAGCGGUACGCGAGCUGGGUUUAGAACGUCGUGAGACAGUUCGGUCCCUAUCCUCUGCGCGCGCAGGAGACUUGAGAAGGCCUGUCCCUAGUACGAGAGGACCGGGACGGACGAACCUCUGGUAUGCCAGUUGUUCCGCCAGGAGCACGGCUGGUUAGCUACGUCCGGACAUGGAUAACCGCUGAAAGCAUCUAAGCGGGAAACCAUCUUCAAGACCAGGUCUCCACCACCCCCUCCUUUCUUUUUCGCUAUAGUGAAUAGAGGGGAGGGAUGGGAAGGCCCCCAGAUGAUGACUGGGUUGAUAGGCCGGAGGUGGACACCCAGUAACGGGCACCAAGCCGACCGGUACUAACACGGCCGAUCACACACAAGA